UCCCAAGGGUAUGGCUGUUCGCCAUUUAAAGUGGUACGCGAGCUGGGUUUAGAACGUCGUGAGACAGUUCGGUCCCUAUCUGCCGUGGGCGCUGGAGAACUGAGGGGGGCUGCUCCUAGUACGAGAGGACCGGAGUGGACGCAUCACUGGUGUUCGGGUUGUCAUGCCAAUGGCACUGCCCGGUAGCUAAAUGCGGAAGAGAUAAGUGCUGAAAGCAUCUAAGCACGAAACUUGCCCCGAGAUGAGUUCUCCCUGAGACUUUAAGUCUCCUGAAGGAACGUUGAAGACGACGACGUUGAUAGGCCGGGUGUGUAAGCGCAGCGAUGCGUUGAGCUAACCGGUACUAAUGAACCGUGAGGCUUAACCUU
rnacentral:rRNA from 2 species